UGUUUCUGUGCUCCCUCUUAGUGCUCUGAAAUCUUGGGCUCCUCUCCCUCUUGAUUGCUGGCUGAAAAUCUUGGCUUGGCACUCCCAAGCUGCACACCACAGCUCUGGGACAAUCUCAAGCUUUAUAUCCCUUCCCAUCUUGGAGGAAUCAGAGGAAGGAAAGUUAGCAGUGGUUGUGACAGAGGGUUUUUCACUUGUCUCUUGGAGCUCCACCUCAGAAAGACGCAGAGCUGCUAUCAAUCAGUAUGAUUGGCCUAGGAUGGGGCAGCUGUGCUGUGAGACCAACCCAUGGCAGACAUCCAGCUGAUCACACUGUGUCCACAUAAGGCAAAUGCUGAGCUGUAAUCCAUCAAGCUGUUUCCAAAUCACCAGAUCUACUCCUUGGAUGAUAAAGCAAUGCAAAUUGCAGAAAUUAGAGGUGAAAUCAAAUGGUUGAAAGGAACCCUGCUUUGAUCACUUUUUGGCUAAAUUGGAGAAUUCAUUAAGUGUUUAGAUCUCAGUUAAUGUGUAGGAAAAAAUGUCUUUCUUUUAGGUUUGCAGAGUAGCUUAGACAUAUAAUGUUUAAAUCUGUGUAUAAUUCUAGCCACAAAAUCUGUGAUCAGAAAAUAUAUUUCCUUUUUCUUCUUUAUUGAUAACAAAAGGAAUGAAGAAAUUAUAGGUCUUUAGAGAUAUCAGUGUCUUUGGAUCAUGUGAUCUGAUGGAAAGAAAGAAAAUCAAUAUUAUCUGAGUGUCAGGGAUAUAGUAAUUGCUUUCACCUAUCUUGUUGUAUUCUCAUGAUAGCUUAUUGGGUGUAACCAACUACAUGUUUGUGUUUCCUCACAAACGUUAAUCCCCAUUAUGAUGAUAUUAGAAAGUGGGACUUUUAAGAGGUAAUUAGGUAAUAAAGGUGGAGCCUUCAUAAGUGAAAUUAGUGCCAUUAUAAGAAGGACCACAGAGAGCUCUCUUAUUCUCUUUCUGCCAUGUGAGGAUGCCAACAGAGAUAGUAGCUUCUAAGAUGGAAGAAGAAUCUUACCAGAAUUGAGCCUGGUCUUGGACUUCCAGCCUCCAGAACUGUGAUAAAUAUUAGGGAUGGACAAGAGACUUAGUUUUCGUCAAUGGGAUUUAAAGGAGAAGAUUUGUGCUAUUAUUAAAAUCAUCUGAGACCAGGCAUAGAGAAAAGGCCAUAUGAGUACACAGCCAGAAGGUGUCUGCCUACAAGACAAAGAGGGAAAACUUACCUGAAACCAACCCUGAUGGAUAUUGGAUUUCUAAGCUCCAGAACUGUGAGAAAAUUAAUUUUAUGUGCUUUAAGACACUCAAUUUGUGGUAUUCUGUUAUGGCAGCCUAUGCUAGUCAAUUUGCAUUACCAUAAAGCAACACCUGAGAGUGGGUAAAUUAUAAAGAAAAGAAGUUGAAUCGGCUCAUGGUUCUGCAGGCAGUACAGAAGCAUAGUGCUGGCAAUUGCCCCUGGCAAGGGGCUCAGGAAGCUUACAAACAUGGCAGAAGGCAAAGGGAAGCCAACAUAUCACACGUAAGCUCAGGAAGCUUACAAACAUGGCAGAAGGCAAAGGGAAGCCAACAUAUCACGUGGCGAGAAAGACAGAGAAGCGGUAGGUCCCAGACUCUUUUAAACAACAAGACCUCAUGUGAACUGAGGGGAAACUCACUUUCACCAAGGAGAUGGUGCUAAACCACUAAUGAGGGAUCUGUCCCAUGAGCCAAUCACCUCCCACCAAGACCUACCUCCAAUUUUGGAAAUUAUAUUUCAACAUGAGAUUUGGAGGGGACAAACAUCCAAACCAUAUCCCAGCCUGAGCAGACUAACAGAGUCUCUGAAUAAAUCUAUGAAAAUGACUAGAGUAUUAUUUUGUUGAGUGAUUUCUUCUUGUAUUAGGAUUGGUCUCCUUGAAAAUAUUUUUCUCAUAUCUGUUAUAAUAAAAUACUGAGAAUCAUACUAAUUCUACUCUAAACUUAGAUAUUUAAGAGGGUUGGAUUUGACUGAUUGCUCUGAUGUUGCUAACAUAGUCAAAGACUUUUCAAAACUAAAGUGUAAUAUUAUGUCAUGCAACCUUGAGAAAAUUACAAUGGACAAAGCAGAACUAUAAUUCACAAUUCAUCUCCCAAACAAAUUGUGACACCCCUUCUUUCCAAUCCACUGAAAUAUGCCUAAAAUGAGAAAAAAGGGAAAUCUUAAAAACAACAACAACAACAACAAAGAAAAAACAGAAAACGGCAACAUUCAGGCAAAAAAGAAUGUGAGGACUAUGAUGCUGGCAUGCUAAACUUAAUUAAUAAUAAAUGAGAGAGUUUGGAAUGAU
rnacentral:lncRNA from 1 species